CGCGGCCGUGCGGAGCAGCGCCGCCGCCGCGCUGCCCGCGCCAAAGCCGCCGGCUCACCGAGGGGCACAUCGCUGCGUCGGCGGCGGCCCCGCGGCAGCGGCAGGCGAGGCAAACCCUAAAUUCCCCACACUCCGCUCCGCGGCAAAAGCGCGAUGCAGCCAGGCUCCCGCAGGCACGCACACAAGAAAUAAAUUCAGUAAAAAAAUUAAAAAAAAAAAAAAAAAAAAA